rnacentral:rRNA from 1 species
UACGGAGGGUGCGAGCGUUGUCCGGAAUCACUGGGCGUAAAGGGCGCGUAGGUGGACUGUGGAAGUCUGCGGGGAAAGCCCGGCGCUCAACGCCGGGUCUGCCGUGGAUACUCUCGGUCUUGAGCUUACUAGAGGCAGAUGGAAUUCCGGGUGUAGCGGUGGAAUGCGUAGAUAUCGGGAAGAACGCCCGUGGCGAAGGCGGCACUCUGGGACGGUACUGACGCUGAGACGCGAAAGCGUGGGGAGCGAACAGG